rnacentral:rRNA from 1 species
GUGGGGGAUAUUGCACAAUGGAGGAAACUCUGAUGCAGCGACGCCGCGUGAGUGAAGAAGUAUUUCGGUAUGUAAAGCUCUAUCAGCAGGGAAGAUAAUGACAGUACCUGACUAAGAAGCCCCGGCUAACUACGUGCCAGCAGCCGCGGUAAUACGUAGGGGGCAAGCGUUAUCCGGAUUUACUGGGUGUAAAGGGAGCGUAGACGGAAUGGCAAGUCUAAAGUGAAAUCCUGCGGCUUAACUGCAGAAUUGCUUUGGAAACUGUCAAUCUGGAGUGUUGGAGAGGUAAGCGGAAUUCCUGGUGUAGCGGUGAAAUGCGUAGAUAUCAGGAAGAACACCGGAGGCGAAGGCGGCUUACUGGACAAUAACUGACGUUGAGGCUCGAAAGCGUGGGAAGCAAACAGGAUUAGAUACCCCAGUAGUCC